GUAAUUUUGAUGGCUGAUAUAUAAAAAGCAAUAGACUGUAAAUCUACCUAUAAGGAUGACCUUUCAAAUUUA
rnacentral:tRNA from 1 species